GAGCUAAUACAUGCGAACACACUCCGACCUUCGGGGAAGAGCGCUUUUAUUAGAUCAAAACCAAUCGGGUCGCAAGGCCCGUCUCUUUGGUGACUCUGGAUAACUUUGGGCUGAUCGCAUGGCCUCGAGCCGGCGACGUAUCUUUCAAAUGUCUGCCCUAUCAAGUUUCGAAGGUACGUGAUAUGCCUACCUUGCUUGUAACGGGUAACGGGGAAUCAGGGUUCGAUUCCGGAGAGGGAGCAUUAGAAACGGCUACCACAUCCAAGGAAGGCAGCAGGCGCGCAAAUUACCCACUCCUGGCACGGGGAGGUAGUGACGAAAAAUAACAAUACAAGACUCAUCCGAGGCCUUGUAAUUGGAAUGAGUAUACUUUAAAACCGUUCCCGAGGAUCUAUUGGAGGGCAAGUCUGGUGCCAGCAGCCGCGGUAAUUCCAGCUCCAAUAGCGUAUAUUAAAGUUGUUGUGGUUAAAAAGCUCGUAGUUGGAUUUCGGCAGUCAUUGGUCGGUUUGAAUCGCUUCAACACUGACUUUUUUGACUGUGUGUUUUGCCAGAAUUCAGCGGGUGACCUUAACCGUUUGUCCGUUGGGGCUGGCAGGUUUACUUUGAAAAAAUUAGAGUGCUCAAAGCAAGCUUCAUUGCUUGAAUAUUUCGUGCAUGGAAUAAUAGAAUAGGAAGUCGUUUCUAUUUUGUUGGUUUUCGGAAAUGGACUUAAUGAUUAAUAGGGAUAGUCGGGGGCAUUUGUAUUCAAACGACAGAGGUGAAAUUCUUGGACCGUUUGAAGACUGACUACA
rnacentral:rRNA from 1 species